rfam:Perkinsus marinus ATCC 50983 gcontig_1104296765038, whole genome shotgun sequence.
GUCGCUAUCGUCUAAUGGUUAGGACGUUACGUUGAGGCCGUGGCAACCCGCGGUUCAAAUCCGAAGUAGUGACU